rnacentral:rRNA from 1 species
GACGAACGCUGGCGGCGUGCUUAACACAUGCAAGUCGAACGAAGUGGCGGACGGGUGAGUAACGCGUAAUCAACCUGCCCUUCAGAGGGGGACAACAGUUGGAAACGACUGCUAAUACCGCAUACUGAAGGAGGGGUUUGCGUCUGAUUGGCUAGUUGGAGGGGUAACGGCCCACCAAGGCGAUGAUAAGUAGGCUGGCUGAGAGGGUGAACGGCCAAAAUGGGACUGAGAAACGGCCCAGACUCCUAAGGGAGGCAGCAGGGGGGAAACUUCCGAAAUGGACGAAAGUCUGACGGAGCAACGCCGCGUGAGAGAUGACGGCCUUCGGGUUGUAAAGCUCUGUUAAUCGGGACGCGGUACCGGAAUAGAAAGCCACGGCUAACUACGUGCCAGCAGCCGCGGUAAUUC